GAAACUCACCUGCCUGAGUGGCUCGCUUACCUGAUGACGGCGAGUUGACAGCGCCGAAGCCGGUGGCACAACGAGGUAGAAUAUAUAGUCUGCCUGGGUCUGAAAGAUUAUCCAGCAUAAAUGUUAGUAGCCGCUGCGUGCCAUUCGGUUCAUUGUAGAUUGAAAGGAAUUCCUUCCCGAGAGGAUUCCCGUGCAACCCAAGUAUGUUCAAAUGGAAGAGUUUUCCAAUUUCA